rnacentral:rRNA from 1 species
UACGUAGGGGGCAAGCGUUGUCCGGAUUUAUUGGGCGUAAAGAGCGUGUAGGCGGUCUGGUAGGUCCGUUGUGAAAACUCGAGGCUCAACCUCGAGACGCCGAUGGAAACCCUCAGACUAGAGUCCGGAAGAGGAGAGUGGAACUCCUGGUGUAGCGGUGAAAUGCGCAGAUAUCAGGAAGAACACCCGUGGCUAAGGCGGCUCUCUAGUACGUGACUGACGCUGAGACGCGAAAGCGUGGGGAGCGAACAGG